rnacentral:tRNA from 1 species
CCUUCGAUAGCUCAGUUGGUAGAGCGGUGGACUGUAGUUGGCUUGUUGAAAUUUGGAUAUCCAUAGGUCGCUGGUUCAAAUCCGGCUCGAAGGA